GGGGAUUUAGCUCAGCGGCAUAAGCGCCUGCCUUGCAAGCAGGCGGUGGUAAGUUCGAUCCUCGGCCCCCA
rfam:Cavia porcellus supercont2_15 genomic scaffold, whole genome shotgun sequence.